AUCCUUUUAGCUUAAUGGCAAAGCUUAAUACUUCUAAUAUUAAGAUUCAGGUUCAAUUCCUGAAAAGGAUA
rfam:Pneumocystis murina mitochondrion, complete genome.